UAGUUGUUAUAAGUUUAGUUUGUUGGUC
rnacentral:sRNA from 1 species